rnacentral:rRNA from 1 species
UGAGGAAUAUUGGUCAAUGGGCGAGAGCCUGAACCAGCCAAGUAGCGUGCAGGAUGACGGCCCUAUGGGUUGUAAACUGCUUUUAUAUGGGAAUAAAGUGAGGGACGUGUCCCUUAUUGCAUGUACCAUACGAAUAAGGACCGGCUAAUUCCGUGCCAGCAGCCGCGGUAAUACGGAAGGUCCAGGCGUUAUCCGGAUUUAUUGGGUUUAAAGGGAGCGUAGGCUGUUUGUUAAGCGUGUUGUGAAAUGUAAGAGCUCAACUUUUAGAUUGCAGCGCGAACUGGCAGACUUGAGUGCGCACAACGUAGGCGGAAUUCAUGAUGUAGCGGUGAAAUGCUUAGAUAUCAUGACGAACUCCGAUUGCGAAGGCAGCUUACGGGAGCGCAACUGACGCUAAAGCUCGAAGGUGCGGGUAUCGAACAGG